GGUCAAACCAAAAGUCAAACAACAAGACUAGGUUAGAAAUAAAUCAAAAAUAAAUUGAAAAUGGAAAAUAAAAAUUCAAUAAAAGGUCAAGUUGACCAUGAGACAUUGGUCAACCAUCAUCCCAAAAAUCAGAAACUAAAAAUAAUUUUAAGUUAUGGAAAUAAAAUAAAUGAAAAAAAGUGUGUUAAAAUGGCCUAUUUGACACAAAUAAUUAAAAUAAAAUACUUGCAUUAAAUAAAAACGAAAAUAAAAAUUAAAAUAAAUUAAAUGAAACAAUUAAGAAUGUAAAAAAAU
rnacentral:lncRNA from 1 species